rnacentral:rRNA from 1 species
UACGAAGGGGGCUAGCGUUGCUUGGAAUCACUGGGCGUAAAGGGUGCGUAGGCGGGUCUUUAAGUCAGAGGUGAAAUCCCAAGGCUCAACCUUGGAACUGCCUUUGAUACUGGGGAUCUUGAGUCCGGGAGAGGUGAGUGGAACUGCGAGUGUAGAGGUGAAAUUCGUAGAUAUUCGGAAGAACACCAGUGGCGAAGGCGGCUCACUGGCCCGUUACCGACGCUCAGGCGCGACAGCGUGGGGAGCAAACAGG